rnacentral:rRNA from 1 species
CUUUCCCUCUUUCUUUAGGCCUAACACAUGCAAGUCGAACGGCAGCACAGUAAGAGCUUGCUCUUACGGGUGGCGAGUGGCGGACGGGUGAGGAAUACAUCGGAAUCUACUUUUUCGUGGGGGAUAACGUAGGGAAACUUACGCUAAUACCGCAUACGACCUACGGGCGAAAGCAGGGGAUCUUCGGACCUUGCGCGAUUGAAUGAGCCGAUGUCGGAUUAGCUAGUUGGCGGGGUAAAGGCCCACCAAGGCGACGAUCCGUAGCUGGUCUGAGAGGAUGAUCAGCCACACUGGAACUGAGACACGGUCCAGACUCCUACGGGAGGCAGCAGUGGGGAAUAUUGGACAAUGGGCGCAAGCCUGAUCCAGCCAUACCGCGUGGGUGAAGAAGGCCUUCGGGUUGUAAAGCCCUUUUGUUGGGAAAGAAAAGCAGCAGGUUAAUACCCCGCUGUUCUGACGGUACCCAAAGAAUAAGCACCGGCUAACUUCGUG